GAUGACAUUACGGGGGGACUCCUACGGGAGGCAGCAGUGGGGAAUAUUGGACAAUGGGCGCAAGCCUGAUCCAGCCAUGCCGCGUGUGUGAAGAAGGCCUUUUGGUUGUAAAGCACUUUAAGCGAGGAGGAGGCUACUUGGAUUAAUACUCUAGGAUAGUGGACGUUACUCGCAGAAUAAGCACCGGCUAACUCUGUGCCAGCAGCCGCGGUAAAAU
rnacentral:rRNA from 1 species